GACGAACGCUGGCGGCGUGCUUAACACAUGCAAGUCGAACGAGUGGCGAACGGGUGAGUAAUACGUGAGUAACCUGCCCUAUCUACGGGAUAAGCCUUGGAAACGGGGGCUAAUACCGAAUAAAGGGGGUUGGGCUCGCGGGCUAUCAGCUUGUUGGUGGGGUGAUGGCCUACCAAGGCGGUGACGGGGAGCCGGCCUGAGAGGGUCACCCGCCGCAUGGGGACUGGGAUAGGGCCCAGCGUGCGGCGGGAGGCGGGAGUGGGGGAUAUUGGACGAUGGGCGGAAGCAGGAUGCAGCGGCGCCGCGUGAGGGUUGAAGGCUUUCGGGUUGUAAACCUCUUUCGCGAUCGAACGGGUAGGUGGAGAAGAAGCGCCGGCUAACUACGUGCCAGCCGCCGCGGUAAUUC
rnacentral:rRNA from 1 species